CCACCCAAAGAAGCACCUUCAAUACCUUACCUAGAAGAGCCACACCAAUUUUUUUUAUAUAUAUAUAUAUAGAAAAAUGUACUUGUCUUUUGCUACUAGCACUGACUUUGCUGUUCCGGGAUUCAUACAAUGGCAUUGAGGAGUAUACCACCUUAGUCAUCGGCUUCAUCAAUAAGUGCAUUGACGAUGUUGUCCCCAAAGUGACUGUACAAACAUAUCCCAACCAGAAGCCAUGGAUUACAGGCAACAUCUGCAUCGAACUAAAGGCAAGCGCUGCUGCUUUCAAGGAGCGGGACACUAAUCUGGACACUUAUAAGAAAUCCCCCACGGGAUAGGUUUUCAGAAGACCGAGACGGGUUUUCCUCGAAGGACCCUGGGACUAAACACCUCCAUCUCCAACUGGAUCCUGGACUUCAUGACGGACCACACCCGGGUGGUAAGGAUGGAGGGAGACCAACAGAUGGAUAGAGAGACAGACAGGCGGAUGGAGGAACCCGAGAUAUUCCAAGUGGCUAAAUGAUGCCGGGUCUAGGGCAUUCCUAAUUGCUGAACGGCUCCCAAGUGAAGCGGAACGUCGUUGCUCCCUCCUCCUCCACCCCUUGAGCCCAGACACCAGCACACGGGGGGUGGGGGAGGUAGCCAGGCAGGCUGUCGGGCCGACGGAAGAGGCAGAGACAGAGGCCCAGGGAAGGUGUAGAGAAUCGGGGGAAGGGCCCAGCGCGUUAGGCCCCAGUCGCCCCAACAGCACUGACACACGCCAUCAACGAGAGGUGGAUGCUGAGUUAGAAAGGCAAAGGAGAAAAACACAAAGCUGGCGAGAGAGGUAGACUGAGAGAGAGAUAGAGAGCAAUGGAGGGAGUGAUUAUGCUGCUUGCUGAUGUCACACCUGCGCUGAGCCAAUCCCGGCACUCUGGCAGUCAUCUGCUUUGUCACAUGGCUUCUGUCCCCUGAUGAUGCCUUAGCUCUUUAGCUUGGACUGUUAGCAGAUAUAUUGUAGCCUAUACAUACAAUUCCACACUCAUUGCAUGUUUUUUUUAUUGUACCUGCUAAUACAGCAACAUAACACAGGGAUGCUUAAAAUACCUAUCAACAGUAUACAGACAAUUCUACAUGCACCUAGUAUAUUCAGUUUUUUUGUGCAGAUGUGAAAUCCUACCAAGGACACAUGUCUUGAUUUCUUCACGACUGUGUGUCUGUAUAAAUGUUUGAUAUUUAACUGUAUGCUUAUUCACAUCAGUAUGUUUGUUGCUCUGUUUUCGCGUCACAUGAUGGCAAUCCUUUAUGCCAAAGUCGCAUUGUCAACAACCACCAGCACACAAACACACACAUACGGGGAACAUCACACAUACCUCAGCAUGUCAGAUAAAGAGGGAGAUUUGUCAAUUAGGUACGUUAGAAGGAGGAUUCAAAUGGGUAUGUGGGAAGGGAUAAGGGUAUUUAUUUGGAAUUGGGGUAACUGUCAUGGGACAGUGUAGCUCAGAGGCAUUCUGUGAAUAAAAUAACCAUUCCCUUAUUGAAAAUAACACAUACACUCACUUAGGUUGGAGUCAUUAAAACUCGUUUUUCAACCACUCCACAUAUUACUUGUUAACAAACUAUAGUUUUGGCAGGUCAGUUAGGACAUCUACUUUGUGCAUGACAUGCCAUUUUUACAAUAAUUGUUUACAGAUUAUUUCACAAUAUCACAAUUCCAGUGGGUCAGAAGUUUACAUACACUAAAUUGACUGCUUUUAAACAGCUUGGAAAAUUCCAGAAAAUGUCAUGGCUUUAGAGGCAUCUGAUAGGCUAAUUGAUAUCAUUUGAGUCAAUUGGAGGUGUACUUGUGGAUGUAUUUCAAGGCCUAGCUUCAAACUCACUGCCUCUGCUUGUUUUCAUGGGAAAUCAAAAGAAAUCAGCCAAGUCAAAAAAUUGUAGACCUCCACAAGUCUGGUUCAUCCUUUGGAGCAAUUUCCAAAUGCCUGAAGGUAACACGUUCAUCUGUACAAACACUAGUACACAAGUAUAAACACCAUAGGUGUCACGCCCUGAUCUUAGAGAUCCUUUUUAUUCUCUAUGUUAGGUCAGGGUGUGACUCGGGUGGGAAAGUCUGUUUUGUAUUUCUUUGUUUUUGGCCAUGUGUGGUUCCCAAUCAGAGGCAGCUGUCUAUCGUUGUCUCUGAUUGGGGAUCACAUAUAAGUUGUCAUUUUCCUUUUGGGUUUUGUGGGAUCAUGUUUUCUGUUUAGUGUCUGUGUAAUGGCUAUCGAUGGUGCUUUGUGGGCAGAACUGAGAAAGCGUGUGUGAGCAAGGAGGCCUACACACCUGACUCAGUUACACCAGCUCUGUCAGGAGGAAUGGGCCAAAAUUCACCCAACUUAUUGUGGGAAGCUUGUGGAAGUCUACCUGAAACAUUUGACCCAAGUUAAACAAUUUAAAGGCAAUGCUACCAAAUACACUCAAUUAGUAUGUUAACUUCUGACCUACUGGGAAUGUGAUGACAGAAAGAAAAGCUGAAAUCUCUAUUAUUCUGACAUUUCACAUUCUUAAAAUAAAGUGGUGAUUCUAACUGACCUAAGACAUAAUUUUUACUAGGAUUAAAUGCCAGGAAUUGUGAAAAACUGAGUAUAAAUGUAUUUGGCUAAGGUGUAUGUUAACUUACAACUUCAACUGUACAUUUCACAUGUGAACACGUGAUGUUAAUGUGACGCAACGUGAUAACAUGAAACUACGUGACAACAUGAUCUCUUGUGAAAUAAAUGUGACAACAUGGGGAGGCACUUGGGAUUUGAACUCAACACCUCUUGGUUGCAAGCUACCUGAAGUUCCUGCUGCACCACCAGGUCUGUUGACAUCUGCCUCCCGUGUCUGUUGAAGAUCAGCUGGCUAUAUCAUGACACUAGGCGAGACCCAAAUGCAGACACGGGAGGCAGGUGGUUGGAGUUUCAGAUGUUUAAUAAAUCUAAAGGGAAUAGGCAAGAGAAUGGUCGUGGACAGGCAAAAGGUCAUAACCAGAUCAGAGUCCAGGAGGUACAGAGUGGCAGGCAGGCAGAAUAGUCAGGCAGGCGGGUACAAAGUCCAGAACAGGCAAAUGUCAAAACCGGGAGGACUAGAAAAAUGAGAAAAGGCAAAGCAGGAAAACACGCUGGUAGGCUUGGACAUACAAGACGAACUGGCAAAAAGAGACAGGAAACACAUGGAUACAUACACUGGGAAAGACAAGCGACGCCUAGAGGGGGUGGCGACAAUAACGAGGACAGGUGAAACAGAUCAGGGCGUGACAAGCUACUGUUUUAUUGCCAAGGAUACACUUCUGCACUUUCCUAAAGUUGCAGUAAAAAUAGAGUAAAUAUAUACCAAAACUAUACCAAAGGUGUUAUUUCUAUAAAAUAAGAGUAUGCUUCUGUAUUCCAAUGUAAACGACUGUAAAAUCUUCUACUGUUACCACUUCACCUUAAAUGGUAUUUGAACUCGUGACCUCUCGGUCACGAGCAACCUGAAGUGUAUUGCUACAGUGCAGCUACACCACCAGAUUUCUGAGUGUGAAAGGAAUAUGGGCUACAGACUUAUUGUCAGGAAUGUGUUUCUACACUUUGCCAAAAGCUGCCCAGAAUCAAGUAAACGAUUGUCCAAUUACCCCCAUCAAUGCAACAUUAACAUAAAACAAGCAAUGCUCAAGGACCCUUGACUUCUAUGAGCAUACAUUCUUUGAGGAUUUGAACAUGCAACCUCUGGGUUGGGAGUGCAUCAAUGUUUCUGCAGUGCCACCAGGUUCAUACUCAUUGAUUAGAACAUAUAUUAACACACUCAAAAAUAAUUGUCUGGUUUGGUACACUACAGUAUUCCCUGGGAUACAAAAAGGUCAAAGGGUACACUUCACAGGUACACAUACAGUAUGAACUCACAUGGUACAAUGUUGUACCUUGUAGGUAUAAUGGGCCAUUUUUCUACCCAAUAUUUGUGUCACACUCUGAUCUGUUUCAUCUGUAAAUUGUGAUUGUCUCUACCCCCCUCCAGGUGUUGCCCAUCUUCCCAUUAUCCCCUGUGUAUUUAUACCUGUGUUUUCUGUCUGCCUGUCCCAGUUUGUUUUGUUUCUUCAAGCCUACCAGUGGUUUCUCAGCUCUUGCUUUCCCCCCCAAGCACAAAAAGCACAAUUUGUUACGUCCCUGUUAGUGAGCAUUUCUCCUUUGCCAAGAUAAUCCCUUCACCUGACAGGUGUGGCAUAUCAAGACGUUGAUUAAACAGCGUGAACCUUGUGCUGGGGACAAUAAAAGGCCACUCUAAAAUGUGCAGUUUUGUCACACAAGACAGAAGUCACAAGUUGAGGGAGUGCACAAUUUGGAAUUUUUUAUCCAUUAUUUUACCAGGUAAGUUUACUGAGAACACAUUCUCAUUUACAGAAACAACCUGGGGAAUAGUUACAGGGGAGAGGAAGAAUGAGCCAAUUGUAAACUGGGGAUUAUUAGGUGACCAUGAUAGUUUGAGGGCCGAUUGGGAAUUUAGCCAGUACACCUGGGUUAACACCCCUAAGAUAAGUGCCACCCUACACAGGGCAGUGUCCCCAAUCACUGCCCUGGAGAAUUGGGAUAUUUUUUAGACCAGAGGAAAGAGUGCCUCCAACACCACUUCCAGCAGCAUCUGGUCUCCCAUCCAGGGACUGACCAGGACCAACCCUGCUUAGCUUCAGAAGCAAGCCAGCAGUGGUAUGCAGGGUGGCAUGCUGACUGCAAGAAUGUCCACCAAAGCUGUUGCCAGAGAAUUGAAUGAUAAUUUCUCUAUCAUAAGCCACCUCCAACAUCAUUUGAAAUAAUUUGGCAGUACAUCAAACUGGCCUCAAAACCACAGACCAGGUGUAACCACGCCAACCCAGGACCUCCACCUCCGGCUUCUUCACCUGCGGGAUCGUCUGAGGCCAGCCACCCGGACAGCUGAUGAAGCUGAGGAUUAUUUCUGUCUGUAAUAAAGCCCUUUUGUGGGGAAAAACAAAUUCUGAUUGGCUGGGCCUGGCUCCCCAGUGGGUGGGCCUAUGCCCUCCCAGGUCCACCCAUGGCUGCGGGCCCCAGCCAAGUCAUGUGAAAUACAUAUAUUAGGACGUGAUUCAUUCAUUUCAAUUGACUGAUUUCCUUAUAUGAACUGUAAUUCAGUAAAAUCAUUGAAAUUAUUGUAUGUUACUGUUUAUAUUUUUGUUCAGUAUAUUUGACCAUGUGCCUAAAUAUGCUAAUGAGCCCCAGACAACACAUAGGUCCCACCUACAUUUUAAGAGCAGUACAGCUCUCCAACUCUCCAGAAAUUUCCGAAUAGCUAAUUCGUUGAACAUGGAACGUGAUGAGUUUCCUAGUUCUGACGAGCACGUGCACGCAACAUAAUGCUGCAUUUGUAACUCAGUGGGAAUGUGGAAUUUACCACACACGACUGGGAAAACUCUACUUGAACGUCCCUCCAACUGGUAAUUACUAGUGGAACACUCAUCUAUCAUCCUGAGCUCCCACUUCUCCCACAUGCUGACCUCCGAUGCCACCUACUAAGGAAACGACCUUUAUAACAGCAUGUUCGGCAGUUAAAUGCAAAAACAAAACAUCAUUAAUAAAAAGCAAUCUAUUAAUAUGUUGUUUUUUUUUACACUAAUUUGUUUAUGAGCAUGAUAGCUGUACUCAUAGUUUAUGGUUUACGCAGCUUGUUGGCCAUUAGCCAAUCAGCGUUUCUCAACGAGUUCAAAGCACAUGCAUGUAUCCAACUGAUAUUUACUUCACUAAUGGUAAAUUCCCACCCCCUCACGGUUACGAAUGCAGCAUUAAAUGUAAUAUAUUGGGCAGCUAGCUAAGCUUUUUCCUCGGUGGACCUGCAUCUACAAUGUAUGCCAUUUCAGUUUGUGUAGUUGUUGGUUUAGCUUUCUGUGACUUUGUAGAAAGUACGGUCUGCAUGUGUAGGCGCAUGUUGCGUCAUGAUUGCAAGGUGUCCCGAUAUCUUUUCCAACGGUCCCAUUAUCUUUUACAACUGUCCCGUUAUCUGGUUUUAAUGUCCAUUCUAGAAUAUCUUUCUAGCCAAUCAGGAACAAUGCUGUGGAAUAAAUAGAAUUAUAAACGCAGUGGUGGGCAGUAUAUGGGACUUUGGUGACAAAACGGAUGGCACUGUGUUAAACUGGAUGCAGUCUAUUGAGUAGGGUAUUGGAGGCUAUUUUGUAAAUGACAUCGCCGAAGUUGAGGAUAGGUAGGAUGGUUGUUGUGAAAUAGGAAGCCAAUUCUAGAUUUAACUUUGGAUUGGAGAUGUUUGAUGUGAGUCUGGAAGGAGAGUUUACUGUCUAACCAGACACCUAGGUAUUUGGAGUUGUCACAUAUUCUAAGUCAGAGCCAUCCAGAGUAGUGAUGUUGGACAGGCGGGCAGGUGCAGGCAGCGAUCGGUUGAAGAGCAUGCAUUUAGUUUUACUUGUAUUUAAGAGCAAUUGGAGGCCAAGGAAGGAGAGUUGUAUGGCAUUGAAGCUCGCCUGGAGGGUUGUUAACACUGUCCAAAGUAGAAUGGUGUCGUCUGCUUAGAGGUGGAUCAGAGACUCGCCAGCAGCAAGAACGACAUCAUUGAUGUAUACAGAGAAGAGAGAUAUGACAAAACAUUUAUUUUUUCUGCUCUAAUGACGUUGGCAACAGUUUAUAAUAGCAAUAAAAGCACCUCGGGGGUUUGUGCUAUAUGGCUAAUAUACCACAGCUAAGGGUGUUGUGCAUGAGAACAGACCUUAGCCAUGGUAUAUUGGCCAUGUACUGUACCACACCCCCUUGGGUCUUAUUGCUUAAUUAUACCAUGGCAUUGUUGAAUACUCCUUCCUGAUUGGCUUCAAGGGCAUUAUAGGCUGCAUUAUUUCCCUAUAAUGCACAGUCGAAUUAAAUGACUAUAGUUCAUUUUUACAUGUUUUGCUUGAGCUGCUUUUGAAAGCAAAAGUGGAAUAGAAAACAGUAUUGCUAUUGUUUAAUUCGAUUUUCAUAAUAGCAAGCUAGAACUGAUGGUUUGGUUAGAUAACCUAGUAAGUCUGUUUGUUUGGUUACCACGGCAACUACUGUAGCUAUCUAGUCAACUUGUUAGCUACUUCAGUGGAUGUUGAACACAUUUCUACUGACAAAUUAACAUAUUUCUAGUGACAAAUGUGUUCAAUUGUAGCCAUGUUAUGAAAGAGAAUUAACUCGUGGGUCUAUGCAUUCUCAGGAAAAUUAUGCAAAUUAAGCAACUCCGUGGAAGACUGAGUUUCCACUUCGUUCAUUAUUUUCCAUAGAACGCAUAGCCCUUCAUUGAUGAUCCCAUACAUAAUCCUGUACAAUAUGAAAUGUGAAUUAUAACUUUGAUCUUUUUGAUGGGGUUGCUAAAAAAAACGUAAGGGAAAUCUAGUCACAAUUUAAAUGACAAACUUCAUAAGCCUUUUUAAACCUCAAAUACAGUACAAGUGUUUAAUUUCUCCUGCAAAUUAAGAUGCUACAUACAGACUGUACACUAAAAUGGAUUUUCAGUACAAAACAGUACAAAAAUGUCAUAGAAUCAGACAGAAUCUAGGAUCAGGUCCCCCUAUCCAUUUAAUCUUAUCUCAUAACGACUGCCCCCACCCAUUGAAGACACGGAUGUUCAAGGCCAACUGUGGUACUGCAGGCUGUUACGGUUUUCUUCCUGGGAAGGAGAGGAGGACCAAAAUGCAGCGUGGUUAUGGUUGAACAUCUUUAAUAAAGAGGAUAACGUGAACAAUAUACAAAACAAGAAACCGUGGAAAAACCGAAACAGUCCUAACUGGUACAAAACACAGAGACAGGAGACAAUCACCCACGAAAUACCCAAAGAAUAUGGCUGCAUAAAUAUGGUUCCCAAUCAGAGACAACGCUUAACACCUGCCCCUGAUUGAGAACCACUCGAGGCAGCCAUAGACUUACCUAGAAUACUACAGUGAAAACAACCCCGUAAAUCUACAAAACCCCUAGAAAAGAAAACACAUAAUCACUCAUGCCACACCCUGGCCUAACCACAAUAAUAAAGAAAACACAAAAUACUAAGGCCAGGGCGUGACACAGGCAUUGUUAACAUAAAACAGGAUCUCACAUUAGUGAAUGAAAAAUCUUCAAAGUCAAUCUUCGUAUAAAUAAAAUUUUAAAAAGACAAUCAUGGUACCAAAAAUUGCUUCUAAUUACACCAGAUGUACACUACCGUUCAAAAGUUUGGGGUCACUUAGAAACAUUUUUUUGUCCAUUAAAUAUCAAAUUGAUCAGAAAUACAGUGUAGACAUUGUUAAUGUUGUAAAUGACUAUUGUAGCUGGAAACAGCAGAUUUUUUAAAUGGAAUAUCUACAUAGACGUACAGAGGCCCAUUAUCAGCAACCAUCACUCCUGUGUUCCAAUGGCACAUUGUGUUAGCUAAUCCAAGUUUAUCAGUUUAACAGGCUAAUGAAAACUUUUGUCCUGAUUAAAGAAGCAAUAAAACUACCCUUCUUUUUACUAGUUGAGUAUCUGGAGCAUCAGCAUUUGUGGGUUCGAUUACUCAAAAUGGUCAGAAACAAAGAACUUUCUUCUGAAACUCGUCAGUCUAUUCUUGUUCUGAGAAAUUAAGGCUGUUCCAUGUGAGAAAUGACAAAGAUACUGAAGAUCUCAUACAACGCUGUGUACUAGUCCCUUCACACAACAGCGACAACUGGCUCUAACCAUAAUAGAAAGAGCAGUGGUGAAGAGGCGACUCCGGGAUGCUGGCCUUCUAGGCAGAGUUGCAAAGAAAAAGCCAUAGACUGGCCAAUAAAAAGAAAAGAUUAAGAUGGGCAAAAGAACACAGACCCUGGACAGAGGAACUCUGCCUAGAAGGCCAGCAUCCCAGAGUCGCCUCUACACUGUUGACGUUGAGACCUGUGUUUUGCGGGUACUAUUUAAUGAAGCUGCCAGAAGCUGUUCAUCUAUUUGUCCUUUGAACUCCUCCAGGGACACCAGCUCCUGGAGUUUUUGGUUGACUUGGAGGGCAUUCCAAUACCAGUGGGCUGAGUAAUGAAAGGACACGUUUCCAAGAUUGGGUCAUAAUUUCGGGGCAUUGUUAGCAUAAAACAAUAUUGAGAUCUGAGCUUGUAUAUGUGUUUUAAUUUCGAGCUAGAAGAGAGGAUAGAUAAAAUGGCCAUUUUCCUCAAAUGGCCUUAUAAAUAAUGUGGCCACUUUGUUACAGCGUUGUCUUUUAAGCCACACGAUUCCGAAUGGCAGUUAAAUCAAUUAAAAUAACCUUCAUCGUCAAGAUCGGUUGCCUAAGCCGAAUAGUCCUAUUUAUCACGUAUUAUUAUUAUUACAAAUAGAAGAGAUUAUCACUUAGUAUUAUUACAAAUAGAAUAGAUUAUCACUUCUCACAAUGGAGCUCAUUUAGUAAAGGUAGAUCAGAGCUGAAUCAAUGUUUUGCAAGAUCACAUAAUGAUUAAUUUUUUAUUAUAUAUUACAGAGCUGAAUAUAAUAGUAUAGGAAAGAGCAUAUUCUUCCAUUUCUAUGAUACUUACCGUAGUCAAAUAGCUGAAAAAAUUCAAGAGGUGCAGCUCUAUUUCCAAGUGUAACUUUCCCCAAGAAUAUCUGCACUGUCUAUGGUUUCAGCACAUGACCACUCACGCGGCAGUGUUUUUCUGGCUACUAAGCAAAGACUAGUAACAAAAUAAAUGUAAAAUAUGCUAUUCUGUUUUCUUUUCAAAUACAUUCUCUUAUUUCCACAACAUUUCUUUAGACUUCUUCGUGAUGGACUUGAACUAGUGUUUUUUUGUUUUUACUUGUAGCCUAGAGUAACAUAAACUAAUGAAAAUGCUAUUAUGUUCUUUGAAAUCAUCAUUUUUUUUACUUACUAUGACUUGUACUAUGUUAUGUCUAGUCUAUGAGACCAGGAUGGUUUUAUCAUCAUAUUAGCUUCAAAAUAAAAGGUAUUGAG